UGCAGUCGAACGGAAGGCCCAGCUUGCUGGGUACUCGAGUGGCGAACGGGUGAGUAACACGUGGGUGAUCUGCCCUGCACUCUGGGAUAAGCCUGGGAAACUGGGUCUAAUACCGGAUAUGACCAACUGUCGCAUGGUGGUUGGUGGAAAGCUUUUGCGGUGUGGGAUGGGCCCGCGGCCUAUCAGCUUGUUGGUGGGGUAAUGGCCUACCAAGGCGACGACGGGUAGCCGACCUGAGAGGGUGAUCGGCCACACUGGGACUGAGACACGGCCCAGACUCCUACGGGAGGCAGCAGUGGGGAAUAUUGCACAAUGGGCGCAAGCCUGAUGCAGCGACGCCGCGUGAGGGAUGACGGCCUUCGGGUUGUAAACCUCUUUCACCAGGGACGAAGCGUGAGUGACGGUACCUGGAGAAGAAGCACCGGCCAACUACGUGCCAGCAGCCGCGGUAAUACGUAGGGUGCGAGCGUUGUCCGGAAUUACUGGGCGUAAAGAGCUCGUAGGCGGUUUGUCGCGUCGUCUGUGAAAUUCUGCAACUCAAUUGCAGGCGUGCAGGCGAUACGGGCAGACUUGAGUACUACAGGGGAGACUGGAAUUCCUGGUGUAGCGGUGAAAUGCGCAGAUAUCAGGAGGAACACCGGUGGCGAAGGCGGGUCUCUGGGUAGUAACUGACGCUGAGGAGCGAAAGCGU
rnacentral:rRNA from 1 species